GAAAUAUGAGAAUCAAAAGAGAGCUUCUAACUCAUCUUUUUAACGAUGAAAAUUCGUUAAUAUUUCU
rnacentral:tRNA from 1 species